rnacentral:tRNA from 1 species
GGAUAAGUGGCGUAAUGAGCGUGUACGAUUUCGGGUCGUAAGGAACAGUUUGUCUUAUCUU